rnacentral:rRNA from 1 species
AGUGAACGCUGGCGGCAGGCCUAACACAUGCAAGUCGAGCGGCAGCGCGGGGGCAACCCUGGCUGCGAGCGGCGGACGGGUGAGGAAUUCGUCGGAAUCUGCCUUUUUGUGGGGGAUAACGUAGGGAAACUUACGCUAAUACCGCAUACGUCCUACGGGAGAAAGUGGGGGACCGCAAGGCCUCACGCAGAAAGAUGAGCCGACGACCGAUUAGCUAGUUGGUGGGGUAACGGCCCACCAAGGCGACGAUCGGUAGCUGGUCUGAGAGGAUGAUCAGCCACACUGGGACUGAGACACGGCCCAGACUCCUACGGGAGGCAGCAGUGGGGAAUAUUGGACAAAGGGCGCAAGCCUGAUCCAGCCAUGCCGCGUGUGUGAAGAAGGCCUUCGGGUUGUAAAGCACUUUUGUCCGGAAAGAAAUCCCUGGAGCUAAUACCUUCGGGGGAUGACGGUACCGGAAGAAUAAGCACCGGCUAACUUCGUG